rnacentral:rRNA from 1 species
UACGGAGGGUGCGAGCGUUGUUCGGAAUUAUUGGGCGUAAAGGGCGCGUAGGCGGUGCGGUAAGUCUGUAGUGAAAUCUCUGGGCUCAACUCAGAGUCUGCUGCAGAAACUGCCGUGCUUGAGUGUGGGAGAGGUGAGUGGAAUUCCCGGUGUAGCGGUGAAAUGCGUAGAUAUCGUAAGGAAGACCAGUGGCGAAGGCGGGUCUCUGGACAGUUCCUGACGCUGAGGCACGAAGGUCAGGGGAGCAAACGGG